CAGAUGCUAUGUGUAUAGAUAUUAAAAAAUAAACAAAGAAAAUAAACUGCUAAGUAUGUUCCAUCCUUCCAUCUUGACAAAUAUUCUUUUAUCACAAAAGGUACAAAAUAUGUGUAAAGCUGUGAUAUAAUGGAUGUAAAAUAUGACAAGAAUUAGCAAAAUCUCAAGAAGAAAAGAGUCUGAUCAUUUGUGAGCCUGUCUGGGAUGUUAUUCAGCUAGCAAUGUUUGGAUGAGUAAUAAGAAUAAACACAUAUAAAUUCAUUACAUCUCAUAUAUUUAUUAAUACAAUUUAUUUUCUUGCCUUCCUUUCAGAAAAAUCAUGGAUUAUAUUCUUAUAAUCAAAAUUUUCACACAAUCUGUGUUCCAUUGAUAGCAAUAAUUUAACAGAUUGAAAAUAAAUGUAAUUAUAUUAAAAUAUACACCAACGGGUGAGUCACAAUUGGCUUAGGUUGGCUAAUAGGGCCUUAGGUGGAUGUCAACGCAUCACUUUACAGAAAUUAAAAGCAUGGUUAAUACCGAGUCAUUGAUUCCUUACAGGGGUAGCUCUUGUGGGGCAGGAUCUGUGACAGGGCCUCACUUCCCAAUACCUUCACCCAGGUGACUUCACGCUUCCCUUGGGA
rnacentral:lncRNA from 1 species